UACGUAGGUGGCAAGCGUUGUCCGGAUUUAUUGGGUUUAAAGGGUGCGUAGGCGGUUCCAUAAGUCAGUGGUGAAAUACGGCAGCUCAACUGUCGAGGUGCCAUUAAUACUGCGGAACUUGAGUACUGAUGAGGUAGGCGGAAUUGACGGUGUAGCGGUGAAAUGCUUAGAUAUCGUCAAGAACACCGAUAGCGAAGGCAGCUUACCAAGGAGUAACUGACGCUGAGGCACGAAAGUGCGGGGAUCAAACAGG
rnacentral:rRNA from 1 species